GACGAACGCUGGCGGCGUGCUUAACACAUGCAAGUCGAACGGUAAGGCCUUUCGGGGUACACGAGUGGCGAACGGGUGAGUAACACGUGGGUGACCUGCCUCGAGCUCUGGGAUAAGCCUGGGAAACUGGGUCUAAUACCGGAUAUGACCUUCUCUCGCAUGGGGGUUGGUGGAAAGUUUUCGGCUCGAGAUGGGCCCGCGGCCUAUCAGCUUGUUGGUGGGGUGAUGGCCUACCAAGGCGA
rnacentral:rRNA from 1 species